CACUGGGUGGCCGGCUGGGCGGCUGAGGGGCGGGGCGGGGGCAAGAGUGGCCUCUUUGCCUCAUUUGUGCCCUAGCGCCGCCCGGACACCGUGCUGGCCGCCGACACCAUGAAGAUCUGGACUUCGGAGCACGUCUUUGACCAUCCAUGGGAAACCGUUACAACAGCUGCAAUGCAGAAAUACCCAAACCCUAUGAAUCCGAGUGUGGUUGGAGUUGAUGUACUGGACAGACACAUAGAUCCCUCUGGAAAGUUGCACAGCCAUAGACUUCUCAGCACAGAGUGGGGACUGCCUUCCAUUGUGAAAUCUAUUAUUGGUGCAGCAAGAACCAAAACAUAUGUGCAAGAACAUUCUGUAGUGGAUCCCAUAGAGAAAACAAUGGAACUUAAAUCUGCAAAUAUUUCAUUUACAAAUAUGGUUUCAGUAGAUGAGAGACUUAUAUACAAACCACAUCCUCAAGACCCAGAAAAAACUAUUUUGACUCAAGAAGCCAUAAUUACUGUGAAAGGAGUCAGUCUCGGCAGUUACCUUGAAGAGCUGAUGGCAAGUACGAUAUCAUCAAAUGCUAAUAAAGGCCGAGAAGCAAUGGAGUGGGUAAUACAUAAAUUAAAUGCUGAAAUUGAAGAGCUGACAGCUUCAGCAAGAGGAAGCAUACGGACACCAAUGGCAGCAGCAGCGUUUGUGGAGAAAUGAUAAUGGAAGUGGAUAGAUGGCACCCAGUUCCCCAGGUCUCUACAAGCUGGCAGUAUAUUUAUUUGUUAUUUAAAAAAUACAACUCUAUUUUAGGUAGAAUUUUUUUUUUAAUAAGCUUAAGAAAAGCUAUGUGACUUGAUCAAACAGAGGUUCAGGGUUUCUAAAUAAAAGGGAUCAGCUGAAAUUAGUAUUGUCUGAAAUGACUGAUUUUGAGGAUUCCAGUAUUUAUGCAAAAUUUUAAGUUUUUUGAAAAGUAUGCUUGGAAAUUGCUAUUGGCUGAUGAAACCUCCUUAAGGUAGAAUUUUAGAGCUUUUCAUGCAUUCGAACUUUACCUGGCUUUGGACCAACCGCAGAACCAAGCAGAGCCCCUUCUGCAUACGCACGACCGCCCUGCUGCGGUAAACUUGGGAGAGCGUCCAUGAGGGAACUCACUUUUAAAGGAGAAACUAUCGUUUUAAAAAGACAUUAAUUGUAUGAAAUAAUUUGCUCUGCUAUAAACCGUUAAAAAUCACAAUGCGUAAAUUUCAUACUCAAAUGACAUUUUUUGGAGUAAAAAUUAUCACGAAAGUAAUGACUCCAACAGAAGUACAUUUUAUUGUUAUAAAGAGUACUGUACUGAUUUGCCAAAGUUUUGUAACUUAGUAAAGGUAUUACCUGCC